GAGCACUACCUGUACAUAGCGUUUAGGGACUGAAGUGGGGAUUUAGCCAGCUUCCCAGUUACUGGGGAACAUGCUGGUAUUCUAACUGUAAAGGAGAAGAAAAGAGUGUAGUAGAAAGACACAGAAGCAAGUUGUCAUAUUUCUGCCUAUGCUGCCGAACAUGGUUGUGGAGAGACUGUGCUAGAAGUUACUUGGCUGGAAACAAACAUUGCUGCAUGCAGUUACCAUUUCCUGGUCCCAGAGGGGAAAAGGAACGUCAGCUGGAGGUAUCUCUGAAAGAAGAGAAGCGAAAACUCCGCCCAUAACCCAAGGCAGACAGGAAAGGAGGGAGGUGGCUGACUGCAGACAGACACCUGGAAACUUCAGAGAAGCUAGGAACAGAAGGGCUGGGCAGAAGAUCCAGAGGGAACUGCAUCAAUGCAAUGUCUAUGGAGAGAGUGGCUGAUGAUGAAAGAGUGGAGCACAUGCCUAAGUAAUUCAGCCAAUUUCUCCUUCCCUCUCAGUGAGAAGCUGAAGGGGAGGGAGGAAGAGAAAAGGGGAGUUGGUAGCUAAGCAACAGAGCUAGUGUUUGCUAGAGAAUAGCCCUGGCAGUGAGACCUGGAGAAAGUUGACACCCUUCUUGUAAAUAGUAGUUCCUUAUUGCUAUACUGUUAAUCUACUAUAUGCAGUUUUGCAUCUAGUAAAAAGAGGAUGAAUGCCUCCACUGUCCCUGCUUCAGAAAAGCAAGUAUGAUCCUUUAAGGAACAAAUAUACACAACUGUAAACUGAACCAAGUGUCAAAUGGUGAUAGUCAGCAAACAAAUCCUUCAAGAGCCUCCUGCAAAGCCUGUCCUGAGAGCCUCUCUUCAGAUCUUAUGUAAUAAUGCUGACAGAACAUACAUGUGCUCUAGCUUCACACUGCCAAAAACUGUUUUCUUUCAUGUUAUGCUGAAGAAGACUGAAGACUUGUGUUACCUGCUUGGGAGGAAGCAGGAUUUGAAGGAGUUGCAAUGCAACUACAAGGACGGGAAGGACGGAAGCUGUCCAGACAAGGAAAGUUCUUGGUGGUUAGCCUUCUGGAACAGAUUAGCUAUUCCAAACGCCCAGACUAAACAACCUUGGAAAGGACAGAAUCUGUUUCGUUAAAACACUGGAAAUACAGUAUGAGAAAUCACUUAGACAUUCAUUGGACUGUACUUUACUAUAAAAUCUUCCAUGCUUAAAAAUUCCACAGCUAUGCAGUGAUUCGUUCUUUUUUUCUAGCAUAAUUACUAAUAGCAGUUUCACUUCAGUGUUGAAAAGAAAUAAACUAGAAUUACCUAUUGAGACCAGAUAGAUGUAGCAGCAUUGUUCAUGUAAGCAAAAUGUAUUACACUAGUUCAAUAAUAAAUGAAAGCAGUAUUUAAGCAGAUCAGAAAUGAAGAAAUGUAAAGCUAUUCUGCCUUUGAUUAGUUACCACAAUUGUUGGUCAUUCACUUCUGCAGCAGUAUGUGCUUUUUGUAGUGGUGAUUAUAUUUAUAAACAUUAGGAAAAUAUUAUUAAUUUAUGAAAGGGGAUUCGGAACAUUUGUUUGAUGAAUGUAAUUAAAAAGAACAUAUAGUAUGUCAUUUUGUACUACUAUCUAAUAGGACACAUUGAAAUUACAAACAGUAAUGGGUAAUCCUAAAUUAUUUUGAACAAUGCCUCUAAAAGAUGCAUGUGCUAAAGGAUUAUUGAAUGGAAAAGCAAACUGAUAUUUUGUUGUGCUUUACCAAUGUGAUGUUUCCACAAUUAGCAAACCCAAAAAUCAUUUUGCCAUCUCAUCUAAUUUCUCUUAGAAGGAUAUUUGUGGCAGCAAUACAUGAACAUGUUCUACUCCAUCUUCAACCACAGAAAUAGCCACAAUUUUAGUCUUCAGUUAAUUAAUAGACAAGAGUACAUUUCUCACAGCUUGUUUGGCCAGCUAAACAACUUUUCUUUGAAAAGGGUAUUAAAGAGAAGAGAUAUAAUAAAGUGCCAUUACAAAAAGACAUUUUCCCUUCUUUGAGGAAAAGGUCAAGUAAGGAUUUAUAGAAUCGUUUUUCAAAGUUGCAGAUUCUUUUAUUUUAGUUCCUGAAAAUACAGCCCAAAGACUGUAAUCAUAAGUAACUCUACAAUAUAAUUCUUUUAUGUCACGCCAAGAGCCAAUCCAUAGAUGUGUAUGAAUCAGCAUCUAUGAUAUUGCUGAGUUCUGGACAUCUUCCCGAGCAGAUAAACUCUCAGCUGGAACUUUCUUAAAUAGGUCUGCAAUUCUGAUCAAAUAACGUACAAAACCCUAAAUUAUCAUGUUUUUGUCCUGUAAAUUUCUUUCUAUCAUAUAUAGCCUCUAGGAUGGCCAUGGAAAAAAAAUUACAGUAGUUAUUAUCCUGACAAACAAAAAUACUUUGGCAUCUGAAAAUCAAACAUUGCUACAAUAGUUAUGGAAGAAACUUUGGUGCUGCCAUCUAAUCAAUUUUCAACCUGCUUUUCUGCCCAGAGGUUUCUUGCAAUCUCCAUAUUGAAAAAAGUCCCCCUUCAACGAUUAUACAAAUCUUAAAGGAUAUAUGAAACACUGACUUAUGGAGAAGGUUAGGUUUAGUUUGUUAUCAACUACACUGUCACAAUGUUCUUCACAUGUACUCUUUAUCAAGCAGGGCAUCCUAUAUCUGCAUGUUUAUUUUUUAAGGAACUAUUACAUCAAAUGCAAAUCAAAAGCACAUUUAUUCAAAAUUAGUAAUCUCAGAAUAAAUGAUUUCAGCAUGAUAGUAGUUGCAUAAACCAAGAAACAUGUUCAGACCCUCCACCAAAUAUAUAUGCAUAUAUGCAUAUUCAUCCACCUAGAAAGGCAGAUAUACAAGAAUAGGGGAGGUCUUCUUCUGACGCUUAAACAUCUUUUGAGCAAGUUCUCCAGCAGCUUUCAUAAGCACAUCUCCCACACAGAACAAUUAAAACAAGAAACUUGAUUGAUCUUCAUAGUUACCAUCACUGCAUAAGAUAUAGUCUGUAAUUUAAUACUUCAUUCCAUAAAGAAGAACAUACUUCCCUGAGAAAAAAAUGAAAUGAACUAUUGAUGUAUGUAAAAAUAUAUUCUUAGGCAAUGCUUGUGAAAACUGAUAACAGAAUCUAUUUAGCUUGCUAAUUAAAAAGUGGAGGGAAAGUUCUCUUUCCCAAAAAUAUUUUGCAGAAUUGGAAACUGUCUGCUAAUAUAUUCUCAAAAGCAGAUUUUAAGUAAUAUAACUCUAUCCAGUGCUUUUUUUCUUAAAAAAAAAAAGUGCUGGAACUCACACACGUCAUACAACCUGCCUUGCCUACCCUACAAGGUUCCAUUC